rnacentral:rRNA from 1 species
GACGAACGCUGGCGGCGUGCUUAACACAUGCAAGUCGAACGGAAAGGCCCUGCUUGCAGGGUACUCGAGUGGCGAACGGGUGAGUAACACGUGGGUGAUCUGCCCUGCACUUCGGGAUAAGCUUGGGAAACUGGGUCUAAUACCGGAUAGGAGCCAUCUUUAGUGUGGUGGUUGGAAAGUUUUUUCGGUGUAGGAUGAGCUCGCGGCCUAUCAGCUUGUUGGUGGGGUAAUGGCCUACCAAGGCGGCGACGGGUAGCCGGCCUGAGAGGGUGUACGGCCACAUUGGGACUGAGAUACGGCCCAGACUCCUACGGGAGGCAGCAGUGGGGAAUAUUGCACAAUGGGCGCAAGCCUGAUGCAGCGACGCCGCGGGGGGGAUGAAGGCCUUCGGGCUGUAAACUCCUUUCGCUAGGGACGAAGCUUUUUGUGACGGUACCUAGAUAAGAAGCACCGGCUAACUACGUG